UACGUAGGAGGCAAACGUUAUCCGGAUUUACUGGGCGUAAAGCGCGUGCAGGCGGUCUGGUAAGUUGGACGUGAAAGCUCCCGGCUCAACUGGGAGAGGUCGUUCAAUACUGUCAGACUUGAGGAUGGUAGAGGGAGGUGGAAUUCCAGGUGUAGUGGUGAAAUGCGCAGAUAUCUGGAGGAACACCAGUGGCGAAAGCGGCCUCCUGGACCAUUCCUGACGCUCAGACGCGAAAGCUAGGGUAGCAAACGGGAUUAGAGACCCCGGUAGUCCUAGCUGUAAACGAUGUGAACUUGGCGUCGGUGGGAUUAAAUCCAUCGGUGUCGAAGCUAACGCGAUAAGUUCACCGCCUGAGGACUACGGCCGCAAGGUUAAA
rnacentral:rRNA from 1 species